rnacentral:misc_RNA from 1 species
AAGACUAUAGACCUGCGGAGUACCUGCGGAAGGAUCAUUACCGAGUUUUCAACUCCCUAACCCUUCUGUGAACCUACCUAUCGUUGCUUCGGCGGACUCGCCCCAGCCCGGACGCGGACUGGACCAGCGGCCCGCCGGGGACCUCAAACUCUUGUAUUCCAGCAUCUUCUGAAUACGCCGCAAGGCAAAACAAAUGAAUCAAAACUUUCAGCAAUGGAUCUCUAGAUCGGAAGAGCACAC